rnacentral:rRNA from 1 species
AUUGGACGCUGGCGGUAUGCUUAACACAUGCAAGUCGAACGCGAAAAUACCUUCGGGUAUGAGUAGAGUGGCGGACGGGUGAGUAAUGCAUAGGAAUCUACCCAGUAGUGGAGGACAACUCGGGGAAACUCGAGCUAAUACCGCAUACGACCUACGGGUGAAAGUGGGGGACCUUCGGGCCUCACGCUAUUGGAUGAGCCUAUGUCAGAUUAGCUAGUUGGUAGGGUAAAGGCCUACCAAGGCGACGAUCUGUAGCUGGUUUGAGAGGAUGAUCAGCCACACUGGGACUGAGACACGGCCCAG